UAGCUAGUUGGUGAGGUAAAGGCUUACCAAGGCGACGAUCUGUAGCGGGUCUGAGAGGAUGAUCCGCCACACUGGAACUGAGACACGGUCCAGACUCCUACGGGAGGCAGCAGUGGGGAAUUUUGGACAAUGGGGGCAACCCUGAUCCAGCCAUGCCGCGUGAGUGAAGAAGGCCUUCGGGUUGUAAAGCUCUUUCGGCCGGGAAGAAAUCGCAUGGGCCAAUACCCUGUGUGGAUGACGGUACCGGAAUAAGAAGCACCGGCUAACUACGUGCCAGCAGCCGCGGUAAUACGUAGGGUGCGAGCGUUAAUCGGAAUUACUGGGCGUAAAGCGUGCGCAGGCGGUUUUGUAAGACAGGCGUGAAAUCCCCGGGCUUAACCUGGGAACUGCGUUUGUGACUGCAAGGCUAGAGUACGGCAGAGGGGGGGUGGAAUUCCACGUGUAGCAGUGAAAUGCGUAGAGAUGUGGAGGAACACCAAUGGCGAAGGCAGCCCCCUGGGUCGAUACUGACGCUCAUGCACGAAAGCGUGGGUAGCAAACAGGAUUAGAUACCCUGGUAGUCCACGCCCUAAACUAUGUCAACUAGGUGUUGGGUGGGUAAAACCAUUUAGUACCGUAGCUAACGCGUGAAGUUGACCGCCUGGGGAGUACGGCCGCAAGGUUAAAACUCAAAGGAAUUGACGGGGACCCGCACAAGCGGUGGAUGAUGUGGAUUAAUUCGAUGCAACGCGGAAAACCUUACCUACCCUUGACAUGCCAGGAACUUGCCAGAGAUGGCUUGGUGCCCGAAAGGGAGCCUGGACACAGGUGCUGCAUGGCUGUCGUCAGCUCGUGUCGUGAGAUGUUGGGUUAAGUCCCGCAACGAGCGCAACCCUUGUCGUUAAUUGCCAUCAUUUAGUUGGGCACUUUAACGAGACUGCCGGUGACAAACCGGAGGAAGGUGGGGAUGACGUCAAGUCCUCAUGGCCCUUAUGGGUAGGGCUUCACACGUCAUACAAUGGUCGGUACAAAGGGUUCCAAGCCGCGAGGCGGAGCCAAUCCCAGAAAGCCGAUCGUAGUCCGGAUUGCAGGCUGCAACUCGCCUGCAUGAAGUCGGAAUCGCUAGUAAUCGUGGAUCAGCAUGUCACGGUGAAUACGUUCCCGGGUCUUGUACACACCGCCCGUCACACCAUGGGAGCGGGUUCCGCCAGAAGUAGGUAGCCUAACCGCAAGGGGGGCGCUUACCACGGCGGGGUUCGUGACUGGGGUGAAGUCGAAACAAGGUAGCCGUAGGGGAACCUGCGGCUG
rnacentral:rRNA from 1 species